rnacentral:rRNA from 1 species
UACGUAGGGUGCGAGCGUUGUCCGGAAUUAUUGGGCGUAAAGAGCUCGUAGGCGGUCUGUCGCGUCGGUCGUGAAAACCUGCAGCUUAACUGUGGGCGUGCGGUCGAUACGGGCAUGACUGGAGUUCGGCAGGGGAGACUGGAAUUCCUGGUGUAGCGGUGAAAUGCGCAGAUAUCUGGAGGAACACCGGUGGCGAAGGCGGCAUCCUGGACCGACACUGACGCUGAGGCGCGAAAGCUAGGGUAGCAAACGGG